rnacentral:pre_miRNA from 1 species
CUCGGGGGCGGGGUCCCUCAGCCCAGAUUGCAAGAGGGCACAGGCCAGGCAGAGGGACCCCACUGGUGCAUG